UAUAUUUCAUUAGAUAAAUUACAAUUAAAAAUUCAUAUGAUUUUAAUUGUUAUAUUUCUCCAAAACAAAGAUUGAAGAUUUAAUUUGAAGAUCAGGAGAAGUUUUGGGAAAAAUCACACUAAUUUGAAUAAAUCAAUUAUUUCAAGUUUAUUUGAAGGUUUACUUCAAUCAGAAUUAAUGUGUUUUAUUGCAAAAAACAUCUAAUAGCUAUGAAGUAUUUUCAACAAUCGCACUACCAAUUCCUUCAUAUAAAAAAAGUUAUUUAAAAGAUUGUUUAUAAGUUUUCUUGAAAGAAGAAAUAAUGAAAGGAGAUGCAGCUUGGAAUUGUCUGAAAUGUGCUCAGAAAAGAGAAU